GCGAAAGCAUUUGCCAAGAAUGUUUUCAUUGAUCAAGAACGAAGGAAGGGGGAUCGAAAACGAUUAGAUACCGUUGUAGUCUCUUCUGUAAACUAUGCCAAUUGGGGAUCGGUACAGGAUUUUUAAUGACUGUAUCGGCACCCGAAGAGAAAUCUUUAAAUGAGGUUCGGGGGGGAGUAUGGUCGCAAGGCUGAAACUUAAAGGAAUUGACGGAAGGGCACCACCAGGUGUGGAGCCUGCGGCUUAAUUUGACUCAACACGGGGAAACUCACCAGGUCCAGACACAAUAAGGAUUGACAGAUUGAUAGCUCUUUCUUGAUCUUGUGGUUGGUGGUGCAUGGCCGUUCUUAGUUGGUGGAGUGAUUUGUCUGGUUAAUUCCGAUAACGAACGAGACCUUAACCUGCUAAAUAGACCAGCCGGCUUUGGCUAGCUGCUGUCUUCUUAGAGGGACUAUCAGCGUUUAGCUGAUGGAAGUUUGAGGCGAAUAACAGGUCUGUGAUGCCCUAGAUGUUCUGGGCCGCACGCGCGCUACACUGACGGAGCCAACGAGUACUUUCCUUGUCCGGAAGGACUGGGUAAUCUUGUGAAACUUCGUCGUGCUGGGGAUAGAGCAUUGCAAUUAUUGCUCUUCAACGAGGAAUUCCUAGUAAGCGUGAGUCAUCAGCUCGCGUUGAUUACGUCCCUGCCCUUUGUACACACCGCCCGUCGCUACUACCGAUUGAAUGGCUUAGUGAGCCUUUGGGAUUGGCAGCUUGUACCGGCAACGGUAGCAGGCCGCUGAAAACUUAGGCAAACUUGGUCAUUUAGAGGAAGUAAAAGUCGUAACAAGGUUUCUGUAGGUGAACCUGCGGAAGGAUC
rnacentral:rRNA from 1 species